UACGGGGGGGGCAAGCGUUGUUCGGAAUUACUGGGCGUAAAGGGCUCGUAGGUGGCCAACUAAGUCAGACGUGAAAUCCCUCGGCUUAACCGGGGAACUGCGUCUGAUACUGGAUGGCUUGAGUAUGGGAGAGGGAAGCGGAAUUCCUGGUGUAGAGGUGAAAUUCGUAGAUAUCAGGAGGAACAUCGGCGGCGAAGGCGGCUUCCUGGCCCAUUACUGACGUUCAGGUACGAAAG
rnacentral:rRNA from 1 species